rnacentral:lncRNA from 1 species
CUCUUUGUUACGUAAUUCUCAGAAUGAAGGAGUUUUUCAUAAUCCUCAAAGAUCGUAUCAUAAUUUUGUUCCAUAAAAUCUGCUACCAACAACUUGUGCCUUGUUAACAAGUCCUUGAAUGUAGCAAAGGCAUCAGAUGCUAUAUCAAAUGUUGACAUUUCCACAUACUUGAAGAAGUCUCUGAACUGUUCUGAAAAAAGUAUGAUUUUGGCCAAUGGUUCAUGUCGGAUGCACUCCCU